rnacentral:pre_miRNA from 1 species
UGAUUACUCCCUCCGUUCCGAAUUACUUGUCGCAAGUAUGGAUGUAUCUAGAUGUAUCUAGAUGUAUUUUAGUUCUAGAUACAUCCAUUUCUGAGACGAGUAAUUUGGAACGGAGGGAGUAUGUG